CCACGGGCGUGUGGAGGUGAUGCUACCGACGGAGCUGGUGAUGGGGAUGAUGCUGUGGGUGGUGGUGGAGAUGAUGACACGGGCGCUGGAGGUGAUGCUACCGACGGAGCUGGUGAUGGGGAUGAUACUGUGGGUGGUGGUGGUGAGUAUACAGGGGAUGAAGGAGAGUGUACUGGUGGUGAUGAUUGAGAUGACGCUAUGGGUGGUGGUGGUGGUGAAUUGAUUGAAGGUGGUGGUUGAGAUGAUGAUCCAGACGGUGGGGGUGGUGGUGAGUUGACUGUAGGAGGUGGAGAAGAAACCGGUGGUGGUGGUAUUACUACUUGUGGAGGUGGAGAUCGGAGCUCUGGUUGGGAUGGCGACGGAGCAAGAGGCGGGGAGGCGAAUGACUGAGGCGGUGGUGUGCUUACAGGUGGUGGUGGAGGAGAAUGCACUCGUGUCACGGGUGACUCGGAAUGCGGAGGUGGUGGUGGUCGUGAUGUUUGGGAUGACGCUACGGGUGGUGGUGGUGGUGAAUUGAUUGAAGGUGGGGGUUGAGAUGAUGAUCCAGAUGGUGGGGGUGGUGAGUACGGUGGAGGUUGUGAUGAAUGAACUGGAGGUGGUGGUGAGUUGACUGGAGGAGGUGGAGAAUAGACCGGUGGAGGUGGUGAUACUACUGGUGGAGGUGGAGAGCGGAGCUCUGGUUGGGAUGGCGACUGAGCAAGAGGCGGAGAGGCGAAUGCCUGUUGCGGUGGUGUGCUUACAGGUGGAGGAGGAGAAUGCACUCGUGUCACGGGUGACUCGGAAUGCGGAGCUGGUGGCGGUGAGUGCACCGGUGUCACUGGCGACUCGGAAUGCUGAGGUGGCGGCGGUGACUUCGCCGGUGCCCUGGGCGUUGGAGGCUUCGGUGAUGAUUUUGGAGGGGUUGCUGCCACCGGCGCAGGCGAUGGCUCCUGAGGUGGCGGUGUCACCGGGUUAG
rnacentral:lncRNA from 1 species